rnacentral:lncRNA from 1 species
UUCUAAAAAUUUUAUGUAACUUAUCAUCUUAAGUAUUUAUAAGAGUAGUUUGGUAGUUGUGGUAUAUAGCUUACUCUAGUCAUAUAAUUUUCACCAAAAGCUUUUUCUAAUAUGAUUUUUCUUAUAUCUGCUACUUUUAUAUUUCUAAGUGUAUACAAAAUAAGUAUUUGAACGUACCUGAGUAGUAUCUACAAUGGUGUUCUAUUUUUUCUGCUUCAUAUCGAUAUUUAAGUACUCCUCCGUAACUAUAUUCACUUGCAUC